GACGAACGCUGGCGGCGUGCUUAACACAUGCAAGUCGAGCGGUAAGGCCUUUCGGGGUACACGAGCGGCGAACGGGUGAGUAACACGUGAGUAAUCUGCCCUUCACUCUGGGAUAAGCACUCGAAAGGGUGUCUAAUACCGGAUACGACCGUCCCUCGCAUGAGGUGGUGGUGGAAACUUUUGUGGGUGGGGGAUGUGCUCGCGGCCUAUCAGCUUGUUGGUGGGGUAAUGGCCUACCAAGGCUUCGACGGGUAGCCGGCCUGAGAGGGUGACCGGCCACACUGGGACUGAGACACGGCCCAGACUCCUACGGGAGGCAGCAGUGGGGAAUAUUGGACAAUGGGCGGAAGCCUGAUCCAGCAACGCCGCGUGAGGGAUGACGGCCUUCGGGUUGUAAACCUCUUUCAUCAUUGACGAAGCUUCACGUUGAGUGGGGUGACGGUAGGUGGAGAAGAAGCACCGGCCAACUACGUGCCAGCAGCCGCGGUAAUACGUAGGGUGCGAGCGUUGUCCGGAAUUAUUGGGCGUAAAGGGCUCGUAGGCGGUUUGUCGCGUCGGGAGUGAAAACACUGGGCUUAACCGAGUGCUUGCUUUCGAUACGGGCAGACUAGAGGUAUGCAGGGGAGAACGGAAUUCCUGGUGUGGCGGUGAAAUGCGCAGAUAUCAGGAGGACACCGUGGCGAAGCGGUUCUCUGG
rnacentral:rRNA from 1 species